rnacentral:rRNA from 1 species
UACGUAGGGUGCGAGCGUUGUCCGGAAUUACUGGGCGUAAAGAGCUCGUAGGUGGUUUGUCGCGUUGUUCGUGAAAACCGGGGGCUUAACCCUCGGCGUGCGGGCGAUACGGGCAGACUGGAGUACUGCAGGGGAGACUGGAAUUCCUGGUGUAGCGGUGGAAUGCGCAGAUAUCAGGAGGAACACCGGUGGCGAAGGCGGGUCUCCGGGCAGUAACUGACGCUGAGGAGCGAAAGCGUGGGGAGCGAACAGG